ACUCCUACGGGAGGCAGCAGUGGGGAAUAUUGCACAAUGGGCGCAAAGCCUGAUGCAGCCAUGCCGCGUGUAUGAAGAAGGCCUUCGGGUUGUAAAGUACUUUUCAGCAGUGAAGGAAGGCCGGGUACGUUAAAUAGCGUGCUCGUUUGACGUUAGCUGCAGAAGAAGCACCGGCUAACUCCGUGCCAGCAGCCGCGGUAAUACGGAGGGUGCGAGCGUUAAUCGGAAUUACUGGGCGUAAAGCGCAUGCAGGUGGUUUGUUAAGUCAGAUGUGAAAGCCCGGGGCUUAACCUCGGAAUUGCAUUUGAAACUGGCAGGCUAGAGUCUUGUAGAGGGGGGUAGAAUUUCAGGUGUAGCGGUGAAAUGCGUAGAGAUCUGAAGGAAUACCA
rnacentral:rRNA from 1 species